AUGGGGCUAUUUCCCAUUCUGUUCGGCUGGGUGCUCAUGGUCGCAGUGAGUACAGACAUCACGGCAAGCCUGGUGGAGCAAAGGCCCCAGUGGGUUCUGGUACCACGUGGACGGGCUAAGACCCUGCGCUGCAUCCUGAGGAAUUCCCAGUACCCUUGGAUGAGCUGGUACCAGCAGGAUCUCCAGGGGCAAUUACAGAUGCUGGCCACUCUACGGAAUCCUGGAGAUAAGGAGAAAAUAUCCCUUCCAGGAGCAGAUUACCUGGCCACACGGGUCACUGACACUGAGCUGAGGCUUCAUGUGGCCAACGUUACCCAGGGCAGAACUCUGUACUGCACCUGCAGCAAAGACACA